CAGCUGUUUAUUGCGUACAAAGAGAAAGGAUAGGGUUUGUGUUUUCGUCGAGUCGGGCGAUGGUUGUGCUUCGUGCUUGAGAGCAGAGCUUUGUCCAGAGUAAUUAAGCUGGACAAGUCGUGUGUUUUACUGAACUGUGGGACCUCCAAAAUGUGCGUGGAUAUUUAGUGUUUUAAUCACCUGGAUACUGGGAUAAUCAACACGUUUAUCGCGUCAGAUCGGCUUCCGCCGGGCCCGGCCGUAUGGCACUCAGUUACUGCUCAAAACGGAUUUUUCUUAUUCGGAGGAGAAUGAGAUGACAGAGGGGGAAAACCCAAAAAAACAAUAAUGCAUUCUGUACACCCAGAAAGUAGUAUAUCGAAAAGCCCCGAGGUGCUGAGCCUCGUUGUCGACCUGGGCACGCUCAUCGUCGAAGGGCGGACCCGACAGCGCAACGCCAAGGGGGCUUCCUCGAGGGCCCCCACUGCCCCAACAUCGGAUUCCCCACCCCCUCGAACCACGUUUGCGACAUCAACAACGAACAGUGUGCUUGGAUUCAACGUUUACGCUUGCAAAUUGCGUUGCUCUGGAAGAACUUCGGAUCCUUUUGUAUCGAAUUGACAGUUUCACCUGAUUGUGCUCUAUGCGGAGAAUUCAACCAGAAUUCCUCUUCAGACCAUAUCAUCGAGCAGUGGUUCAUCACAGCAGACACAAAAAAGUAAGUUUCAGGGAAAGUGUAAAAAGUGGAAAAUUCACCAUCAUCUAUGAAUUGAGACUUACCAUUCAUGGCCUAAAUUUCAGCCAUAAUUAGGUCUUUUCAAUGAGCGAUAUAAAAGGGAAAAACUUAGAAAAAAAGAAGAGGAGGAAGAAAAAUUGAAUGUGAGAAAAAGGAACGAACAGAAAAGGAAAGGGGGGAUAUAUUAAACCGAGGGACCAGCUUAUUUUGAGGGAAAUAAGCAAACCAGGAAACAACAAAGAAAAAUAGUUGGGAGGUGAAAAUGACUGAAAUGAAUGAUUGGCCGAAAGAGGGAAAGAAAACAACGUUCUAAUGCAAAUGGAAGAUUUGCAUUAAAGCAUGCCACUAAAUUGAUGGAACUUGAAACUGCGAAGAGAAGAAUGAUUCAAUUCCACAAUUUAGGGGUUAGGUUGAAGUGGGGAAAAUGAGAAUUUUGGAAUAAUAAAUGAGAUAAAAAUGUAGAAUACGUUUUAAUAUGCACAGAAGGUGCGUAUUAAAGCAAGUCGACUGAUUGCAUGAAGCUUUCACUAUCUGAAUAGAGAACGCAACAUGCAAUGAGUAGAGAAUACUUUUUGGGAUAGGCCAAAAGCAAGACAGGCGAUGCGCCUGUGAUGAAGGUGAAUGGUUGAACCUGUAAAUAGAAAGAAAUAUUAACACGACGGGUGAUGAGGCAGCGCUUGGGGCGUACCUUUCAUCACUUGUAGCUGUUUACUGGAGAGAGCCAAACUGAACUUCGGAGAGCCGGGAUGAGGUAACGUCGGAUUCCUUCAUACAGCGGGCAGGCACCAGGUAAAUACUCCGCUUCGUGGGACCGUCGGUUGACGGGACUUGCAUUCAGUGAGACGGUGUCCUUUCCACCAAUGGAGAGCCAGAAUCCAAUUCCUUAUCCAGAGAGUCCACCUUGGCAGGGGCGUUGGGCAGAGCUUCUUGGUACGGGAGAGAGUUGCUUCCUUAGUGAGGUCCGAGAUCCGUCUUCUUCGGCGUGCUGGAUACAAGUGAUUCUAAGGGGCGAGUCGCUGACGUCUUGAACGCCGCGCAAGAGCCAAAAGGAACCGAGCGGGGACCGCCGCUAGGGUAGGGGCUCCGGGGGGAGCGGAUCUUGUACUUGCCGUGGACUUUCAAAGUUGCAGUUGGAUGUCGAGAUUUGAA
rnacentral:lncRNA from 1 species